rnacentral:rRNA from 1 species
GAACGCUGGCGGCGUGCCUAAUACAUGCAAGUCGAGCGAACGGACGAGAAGCUUGCUUCUCUGAUGUUAGCGGCGGACGGGUGAGUAACACGUGGAUAACCUACCUAUAAGACUGGGAUAACUUCGGGAAACCGGAGCUAAUACCGGAUAAUAUUUUGAACCGCAUGGUUCAAAAGUGAAAGACGGUCUUGCUGUCACUUAUAGAUGGAUCCGCGCUGCAUUAGCUAGUUGGUAAGGUAACGGCUUACCAAGGCAACGAUGCAUAGCCGACCUGAGAGGGUGAUCGGCCACACUGGAACUGAGACACGGUCCAGACUCCUACGGGAGGCAGCAGUAGGGAAUCUUCCGCAAUGGGCGAAAGCCUGACGGAGCAACGCCGCGUGAGUGAUGAAGGUCUUCGGAUCGUAAAACUCUGUUAUUAGGGAAGAACAUAUGUGUAAGUAACUGUGCACAUCUUGACGGUACCUAAUCAGAAAGCCACGGCUAACUACGUGCCAGCAGCCGCGGUAAUACGUAGGUGGCAAGCGUUAUCCGGAAUUAUUGGGCGUAAAGCGCGCGUAGGCGGUUUUUUAAGUCUGAUGUGAAAGCCCACGGCUCAACCGUGGAGGGUCAUUGGAAACUGGAAAACUUGAGUGCAGAAGAGGAAAGUGGAAUUCCAUGUGUAGCGGUGAAAUGCGCAGAGAUAUGGAGGAACACCAGUGGCGAAGGCGACUUUCUGGUCUGUAACUGACGCUGAUGUGCGAAAGCGUGGGGAUCAAACAGGAUUAGAUACCCUGGUAGUCCACGCCGUAAACGAUGAGUGCUAAGUGUUAGGGGGUUUCCGCCCCUUAGUGCUGCAGCUAACGCAUUAAGCACUCCGCCUGGGGAGUACGACCGCAAGGUUGAAACUCAAAGGAAUUGACGGGG